rnacentral:rRNA from 1 species
GCAUAUCAAUAAGCGGAGGAAAAGAAACUAACAAGGAUUCCCCUAGUAACUGCGAGUGAAGCGGGAAAAGCUCAAAUUUAAAAUCUGGCAGUCUUUGGCUGUCCGAGUUGUAGUCUGGAGAAGUGUUUUCCGCGCUGGACCGUGUACAAGUCUCUUGGAAUAGAGCGUCAUAGAGGGUGAGAAUCCCGUCUUUGACACGGACCGCCAGUGCUUUGUGAUGCGCUCUCAAAGAGUCGAGUUGUUUGGGAAUGCAGCUCAAAAUGGGUGGUAAAUUCCAUCUAAAGCUAAAUAUUGGCGAGAGACCGAUAGCGAACAAGUACCGUGAGGGAAAGAUGAAAAGCACUUUGGAAAGAGAGUUAAACAGUACGUGAAAUUGCUGAAAGGGAAACGCUUGAAGUCAGUCGCGUUGUCCAGAACUCAGCCUGGCUUUUGCUUGGUGCAUUUUCUGGAUAACGGGCCAGCAUCAAUUUUGAUCGUUGGAUAAAGGUCUUGGGAAUGUGGCACCUUCGGGUGUGUUAUAGCCCUUGAUUGCAUACAACGAUUGGGAUUGAGGAUCUCAGCAUGCCUUUAUGGUCGGGGUUCGCCCACGUUCAUGCUUAGGAUGCUGGCGUAAUGGCUUUAAUCGACCCGUCUUGAAACACGGACCAAGGAGUCUAACAUGCCUGCGAGUAUUUGGGUGGUAAACCCGAGUGCGCAAUGAAAGUGAAAGUUGGGAUCUCUGUCGCGGAGAGCACCGACGCCCGGACCAGAUCUUUUGUGACGGUUCCGCGGUGGAGCAUGUAUGUUGGGACCCGAAAGAUGGUGAACUAUGCCUGAAUAGGGUGAAGCCAGAGGAAACUCUGGUGGAGGCUCGUAGCGAUUCUGACGUGCAAAUCGAUCGUCAAAUUUGGGUAUAGGGGCGAAAGACUAAUCGAACCAUCUAGUAGCUGGUUCCUGCCGA